UGCAGCCCCGCCCCCAUAAUUGACGUUUCUCGGUAUCGAAAUAAGAAAAUUAAAUAAAUAAAACUAAUGAAUGAUUGCAGAAAGCGCGUCAAAAGUGAACAGACGCACCGAAACACCUGCACGAAGGUUCCAACGUCACGUGUGGAGCGUUCUGGAGUGAUGAAGUUUGCAUUGGAGCAAAUAACCCACGUGCUGGGUUUCAGACAUUCCAUGGAGAUUCCCUCACUGGAGGAGAUGGUGAGCCUGAGUCCACUGUAAAGGGAUCCAGCAUCAUCAUGUGGUCGGUAUUACCUAGAAAAGGGAAGCUGGAGUCAAGGAUGGUGGGUGGAGCACAGAAUGCAGGAAGAGACAUUAUUCAUGGACAGUUGACAGGAAGGGGUGUGCUGUAGUUCUGGUCCUGCUCCCGACUCAUAAAGCCCAUUUCCAUAUAGUUUUGGACAGGUAAGGAGAAGGGGUCACACAGAUAGUCUAACCAUGGAGGCCGUGCCCAUCAUUAGAUUAGCUCACAUUUCACUGUGCUGGUGCUUUAU
rnacentral:lncRNA from 1 species